rnacentral:rRNA from 1 species
AGUGAACGCUGGCGGUAGGCCUAACACAUGCAAGUCGAACGGCAGCACAGUAAGAGCUUGCUCUUACGGGUGGCGAGUGGCGGACGGGUGAGGAAUACAUCGGAAUCUACUUUUUCGUGGGGGAUAACGUAGGGAAACUUACGCUAAUACCGCAUACGACCUACGGGUGAAAGCAGGGGAUCUUCGGACCUUGCGCGAUUGAAUGAGCCGAUGUCGGAUUAGCUAGUUGGCGGGGUAAAGGCCCACCAAGGCGACGAUCCGUAGCUGGUCUGAGAGGAUGAUCAGCGACACUGGAACUGAGACACGGUCCAGACUCCUACGGGAGGCAGCAGUGGGGAAUAUUGGACAAUGGGCGCAAGCCUGAUCCAGCCAUACCGCGUGGGUGAAGAAGGCCUUCGGGUUGUAAAGCCCUUUUGUUGGGAAAGAAAAGCAGCAGGUUAAUACCCCGCUGCUCUGACGGUACCCAAAGAAUAAGCACCGGCUAACUUCGUG